GGAUUUUUUUACUCUAGCCUGCCCACUGAAUAAUUUUUAAAUGGCCGCAGUAUACUAACUGUGCAAAGGUAGCAUAAUCAUUAGUCUUUUAAUUGAAGGCUGGUAUGAAUGGUUGGACGAGAUAUUAACUGUUUCAUAAAAAUUUAUAAUAGAAUUUUAUUUUUUAGUCAAAAAGCUAAAAUAUAUUUAAAAGACGAGAAGACCCUAUAAAUCUUUAUAUUUAGGUUAUUAUAAUUUUAUAGAUUUUUUUUGUUAUAAUAAUUGAUAAUAUUUUAUUGGGGUGAUAUUAAAAUUUGAUAAACUUUUAAUUGUUUAAAUCAUUAAUUUAUGAAUAAUUGAUCCGUUAUUAGCGAUUAAAAAAAUAAGUUACUUUAGGGAUAACAGCGUAAUUUUUUUGGAGAGUUCAUAUCGAUAAAAAAGAUUGCGACCUCGAUGUUGGAUUAAGAUAUAAUUUUAGGUGUAGCCGCUUAAAUUUUAAGUCUGUUCGACUUUUAAAUUCUUACCUGAUCUGAGUCCAGACCGG
rnacentral:rRNA from 1 species